CCCCACGCCCAGAAAAAAAAAAGCUCCAUCGAUCCCAUCUAUCGUUGCCGCCGCCGCCGCCGUCCGAGAGGGAGACGCCGCCCCCGCCACCGCCGUCCGAGAGGGAGACGCCGCCCCCGCCGCCGAACUCUGGGAAACGCCGCCGCCAAGUCUCCAGGGCAGGGCGGUUUCAAUCCCUGCCGCCGAACUCCGGGAGACGCCGUCGCUGCGGCACAGGGUAGAUUUCGCGUCUCCACGUGGUCGCACGAACGCCUGCACCUCCACUUCCCCCCUCGAUCUCGAUCGGAUCUUUCUCUCCACAAAAAUCGCCACCGCCGGCCUCCUUCGCUCGACUCGGCCAUGGUGAAGCUACACCUCCCCCAAUUCCUCCCGUCGUCAUCGUCAUCCUCCGUGUGACCCCGCCAGAUUCCACGAUUUGGGGGAUUCCCUAUGAGGAGCCGGCGCGUCGUCCUCAUCGCAGGCGGUGGCGGGUGUUGGCAUGUGCGCGUACGGAGGAGCUCCACCUCACCCACUUCAGCUUCCUCCCGUCGUCAUCAUCGUCCUCCGCGCGACCACGCCAGCUUCCAUGGUUUGGGGGAGCCUUCCCUAUGAGGAUCCAGCGUGUCGUCCUCGUCGCACCCUAAUUAGGUUCCUGGUGUGUCCGCACCGUCGCACCCUAAUUUGAUUUCGACUGGAGUCUAGGACGUCAGCGCCACCAGUUUACCAAUCAGGUCGUUAGCACUGCCGUCCAGGUGAUAAUAAACGCCGUUCACCACAAGAAGAGGUGAGAGGCAGAUUCCAGAUAAGGGAGCAAACUGCGUAGCAAGAUCAAUAAUGAAUGGUUCAAGUCAUGUGUUACAAGUUACAAUGAGCAGGUGGUACUCAAGUCCGUUGAUGAUAAGGAUAUUAUUCGAACAUUUACUGCAAUGAGGUCUCGGAAAGGGCAUUUGCCUCGUGAUUGUCUUUAGUGCGCUGUCGGUAUUCGGCAUGCCAGCGCCUUCGUCGACCUCCACUCGCCAAUCUGUAACGCCUAUGCCCGUGGUGGCGGGUCACACUCUGAUGCAGCCGUGCACGCCGCCGCUACCAGACGACACCCCCACCGAGUAACACACCCCAGUCGAGAUUUUCUAUAUCAUCUCUGCCAAGGCGCAGUUAUCGGAAGAGAUUCAGGUAAGAUUAUCCUUGUUUUCUACAUCAAAUUUUGCAUGUUCAUCUAUCUAAUCUUUGAUACUACAUUUCUUAGCUAAUGUCCUCCUUGCCUGUACCAUGUUCAUAUGAUUAACAAAGGCUUGGCCAUCUUAAUAUAGUAGCCCGUGAGGUGGAUAUAUAUACUACUCCCUCCAUUCCUAAAUAUAAGUCUUUUUACAGAUUCCAAUAUGGACUACUGAAUGAAUCUACACUCUAAAGAAUGUCUAUAUGCAUCCGUAUGUAGUCCAUAUUGAAAUUUCUAAAUGGACUUAUAUUUAGAAACAGAGGGAGUACUUCAGUUUGCAUGAGAGAAUAAUCACUUAUAUGUGUGCCUUGAUAUUAUAGUAGGAUUGCUUGGAUUAUUUCUGUAGUACUUUGUCCAAAAAUGUUGUUCUAAUCCCUAGCUCACUUGAACCUGGGUGAACAGUAAAAUAAUUAAAAAAUCUGAUUUUUUUUUUUUAGUGUGAAACAUUGACAAAUGUUUUCAUAGCGAAUAGAAAUUUUUCACCAGAUGACAUUCGUGGAAAAUAUGUCCAAAAAAUAGUUGCAAAUUUAUCACCAGAUAACAUUGUGGAAAAUAGUUGCGUCCGUACAGUGUGUUCUUCGUCGAAUUUGUGUUUGAUUUUUUCACUAUAUAUUACUUCUUGCUUGCGCGAGGGUGGUGUAGAUUUGUUAUUUUUUGGCCCGAAAAGAAGGUAGCCGGAUUAGUAGUCUAAUUGAGUAGAUGCUGGUGAGGGAGGGUUACUUGAUUUUUAUUGAGUACAUUAUGCUCUGCUUUGUGACGAGGUUUGAUAUUUGAUGGUUCUGAUGUGUAAUAGAGGGGGCAAAAGUGUUAUCCAUUUCAUUGUUUCUGUGCAUGUUUACGUUGGCCAUCGGUGGCGGGAGGCG